AUACGGAGGAUGCAAGCGUUAUCCGGAUUUAUUGGGUUUAAAGGGUGCGUAGGCGGGACUGUAAGUCAGGGGUGAAAUACUGCAGCUUAACUGUAGCAUUGCCUUUGAAACUGCCGUUCUUGAGUACAGUUGAGGUAGGCGGAAUGUGGUGUGUAGCGGUGAAAUGCGUAGAUAUACCACAGAACGCCGAUUGCGAAGGCAGCUUACUAAGCUGUUACUGACGCUGAGGCACGAAAGCGUGGGGAUCAAACAGGUUUAGAUACCCUGGUAGUCCGCACAGUAAACGAUGUGCACCAGGUGGCGGGCAGCAGUGCUCGGUACCGAAGCAAACGCAUUAAGUACACCGUCUGGGGAGUAUGCUCGCAAGGGUGAAACUCAAAUGAAUUGACGGGG
rnacentral:rRNA from 1 species